rnacentral:misc_RNA from 1 species
GUGAAUCAUCGAAUUUUUGAACGCAAAUUGCACUCUCUGGUAUUCCGGAGAGUAUGCCUGUUUGAGGGUCAGUUUAAAUAAAAAUCGGUGUGGUUUCUGCUUUUUGUGGUGACGCACCGGAUUUGUGUCGUCUUGUCUUCGGUUAUGCGAUCUAUAAUAUUUCAUUGUUUUUUUCGAACGUAUUUACAUUAUUUUAUCUCCUUUUGCGAUAUUG